AAGCAUGCCAAAUUAAUCACACUUCUUAAACACAUCUCUUGACCGGGGUGUUCUCACCAUGCCCUUUCUACAAACAAAAAAAUGAAGAUGUGGAGACCUGGAGACAGGUGGCACCUCGUGCUUCCUCCGAAGGGAGAGCCCAUUUCCUAACAGCUGGAUCAAAGGCAUGAAAUGAACAUGGAGUCCCUGAAGAUGAAGAGAAGGCAUGGCUUCCAGGGAGAAAUUGUACAUUACAGGAAUGCAGAUGUGAUUCCUAUGGAUGAGGGUAACCUAGAGGCUAGAAGAACAAUAGGACAGAAGAAGCCUGGGUCCCUGAACAACCUUGUGGAGCAUAGACACCUACGUGGCCUGGACUGCCAGCUCACAAUGGGCCUCUCUGUGAGAGAAGGAAACUUCCCUCUUGUUUAAGCAACUGUGCUUUUGAGAAUCUCUUGGUCUAUACCCUAAUGAAUAAGGCCAUCAUAAAUGGAUAUCAAAGUAAGGAAAUUUGUGUAAAUGAUUUAAUAAAACAUUACCUCAGGUAUGAAAUAA
rnacentral:lncRNA from 1 species